GACCAGUAUUCUUUGAUUUUGUUCUAUUCUAUUCUUGGUUUUGUUCUAUUCUAAAAAAUGACUUGUUUUUAAGAUUUAGAUUUAAUUUCAGUUAAGACGUCUUUACUGUCCAUACAUCUAGUUUGUUUCAUCCUGUAACUAUGUGAUGUUGCUGGAACAUACGUACGCACACUGUAGUCUCACAUACUGCAGUCUGGGAAUACAUACACGACUUGGUGCAAGGCCACAGGCAUUAAUGUCUAUCAGUAUUCAAGGGACAGGUGCUCAUGUCUUAGCUACCAGGAAAAUUUGCUGAGAUACAAGGAACUCUCAAGAGCCAUUAAAGCAUGACAUUCUGCAACGCGUCAAUAGGUGACAGACUGAUAAAUGAUCAAAUUAUCCCACUUCAUCUGCACGGCUCUGUUGUCAUAGUUAACCAUCAAAAAUCAAAACAUAUCUGUUUCAGUCUGCGAGCUGUCUAUAGCAUCAAAGUCAAAGGGGGUGUUGUAAUUGAAUGCUGAUGUAGGCCAAUAUUAAUCAUCAUUUCAUUCUCGGGCUCAGCGGCGGAGUGGGCAGCGCUGCCCCGUUUGGCCCAAGAUGGAGUAUGCAGAGGAGAAAAGACCAAUUUCCUCAUCGCGAAAUGGAAAGUUCUCCAAAGCAGUUCGGAGCGAUUUGUCAUCAAUCACGGCUCAAGGCCUCCUGAGCUGGGAAUUUUGGGGGUGCAAGGGGAGGGGGGGUGGUGAGAGGAAGAUUUGGACCACUCUAUUACCUGAGCGCACUUCACUGUGAAUAAUGAUGUAGGACACAAAAAAUGUCGCCAGCAUGAAGUCGUAGCUUCAGUCAUGGGAAACACAUGUUGAGCGUUUAAGAAGGCGGAAAUAUCACAGUAGAAAUAUCACAGUUUCUUAAUACACAUGCUCAAAGGUAGUUUUUUUUUGUUGGCGAGAGAAUCGACAUUCCAAUCACGUCGCCUCGCCCUCAUCACGUCAGUCUCUUUACUCAUUUGAUAAUAUCAAAAAAAUGUCAUAUCUAUGAUGCAAUGUCAGGCAAAUCUGCUCAUUUGUCUAUCGCACACAAAUCUCCACAGUGCGAGUUCUGACAUGUUUGCCAUUAAUAUUUCAGAGGCGAGCCCUCAGGAUUUUUAUGUGAACAUCACACUGGCUGUUUCCAAACUACCCAAGGUCAGCCACCCGCUCGAAUCAAGGACUGAUGCAGAGAAUCCGCCAAGACAACAGAAAUAAAAUGAAGCAUCAAACUAAAAAAAUACAACUUCCUCUGGGGGACAAUCUCCUGACUUCAUCCUUACAUUCAUAUCCCUUCACAGAGUUGUGGAGGAAGAUUUCCUGCAUCCGUCAAUGAAGUCAAUGAAGAAACUCCAGCUUGAGGACCCUGCUCUGUACCGUCUUUGUUAUGUAAUAGAUGCUCUACACAUCUACUGGGUCAUUUGAACUUGGGACUGUAAAUUGUAGACAGACAGACAGACAGACUAUACUAAUGUAGCGAGAGGUGACAUUUCACAGUAGUUACUAAUCUGGUUUGCCUGGAUGCAACAUUAGCAUUUUCUCUUAGAGUAGAAACACACAAUUAGGAACAUUUAGUGUGCAUUAAUACUUAACUGCCGGGAUCACAAUUAGUCAGACAACAAAUGAAGGUGAAAUCGUUCACCUGAGAAAACUGUCUUAAUUUCUGUAUCUUUGCUGAGCCAGGGUUGGCAUGAGAUGAGGCUCACCUUAUUAUUCCUAGCGGGAAACUGACUGGCAUGAAGGACAAUGAGGCCCAGCAACGGAAAGGAUGCCAAAUGCCAAAUGCCUGACUUGAUUGCUAUAUGGGGAGAUGGCACCAUUUAGUCCAAACUGGAAGGCACUCGCCGUACUGUAAGCAAAAUAUGCUGGGAACAGAAGCACACGCGUCAACUUUUGUUAUUGUUACUGCGCACACGCUUGUCUCCUGAAUACCGCUGUCGGCUCAGAUUAGCGGUGGACGUGGGCUCCCUGCGACUGCACGUAUGCGCCCGCGUGCGCCGCGCGGCUGCAGAUGGAAAGCGGCUUUUGUGAACGGCAGCGAUCAUUUGUCCACAAGUCCUGUAGAACGCGUUCGCCUUCAGCCACGUUUGCCUUUUCACUACUUAAGAAAUAUGUAUUUUGUGACAGCCUCACUGAUGUAAGCUUGGAUCCGUGGGGUGGAUUAUAGUUAACACUGGUCUGUAGUAUCAGCAGCCAUGUUUGAAUUUUAAAUAAACCAUUGUUACAGUGAGGUGAGGAUUUAUCUCAAAAUGCAAAUAUACAAUAAAUGAUUAU